rnacentral:rRNA from 1 species
AGGAAGUAAAAGUCGUAACAAGGUUUCCGUAGGUGAACCUGCGGAAGGAUCAUUAUCGAGUUUUGAACGGGUUGUCUGCUGGCUCGCAAGNGCAUGUGCACGCCUGUCUCAUCCACUCUCAACUUCUGUGCACUUUUCAUAGGCCGGCUUGUGGGUGCGUUCGCGCACUUGUAGGUGUCGGGCUUAUGCUUUACUACAAACGAUUCAGUUUUAGAAUGUCAUACUUUGCUAUAACGCAAUUUAUAUACAACUUUCAGCAACGGAUCUCUUGGCUCUCGCAUCGAUGAAGAACGCAGCGAAAUGCGAUAAGUAAUGUGAAUUGCAGAAUUCAGUGAAUCAUCGAAUCUUUGAACGCACCUUGCGCUCCUUGGUAUUCCGAGGAGCAUGCCUGUUUGAGUCUCAUGGAAUUCUCAACCUUCNGCUUNAUUGNNGAAGGCUUGGACUUGGAGGUCGUGCCGGCUCUCGUAGUCGGCUCCUCUGAAAUGCAUUAGUGCGAACGUUACCAGCCGCUUCAGCGUGAUAAUUAUCUGCGUUGCUGCGGAGGGUAUUCUAGUGUNCNCGCUUCUAACCGUCUUCGGACAAAUUUCUGAACUCUGAGCUCAAAUCAGGUAGGACUACCCGCUGAACUUAAGCAUAUCAAUA